rnacentral:rRNA from 1 species
GUUCNUCAANUGACGUUACUCGCAGAAGAAGCCCCCGGCUAACUCCGUGCCAGCAGCCGCGGUAAUACGGAGGGUGCAAGCGUUAAUCGGAAUUACUGGGCGUAAAGCGCACGCAGGCGGUUUGUUAAGUCAGAUGUGAAAUCCCCGGGCUCAACCUGGGAACUGCAUUUGAAACUGGCAAGCUAGAGUCUCGUAGAGGGGGGUAGAAUUCCAGGUGUAGCGGUGAAAUGCGUAGAGAUCUGGAGGAAUACCGGUGGCGAAGGCGGCCCCCUGGACGAAGA